GAAUCUCAUGUCAUUCUUGUGCCAAUUAAUCAUGGUCUUGUAUAUUAGAGAUGAUUUGAGGAUAUCAAGAGAUGUGGUCCGCUCAGUGGCCCAAUAGAUCCGGGUGGAACAUGUUCGAGUACCUCGAAGGUUGUUCGAUCAGUGAUGGAAGGAGUGACACGUGGUCUAGCUAGGAUGAUGCCAUGUGGACAGGCACGUGAAGGUACACGUGGAAAGAGUACCUUGAAGGUUGUCCGAUCAGUGAUGGGAGGAGUGACACGUGGUCUAGCUAGGAUGAUGCCAUGUGCCAUGUGGACAGCCACGUGUCCGAUCAGUGAUGGAAGGAGUGACACGUGGUCUAGCUAGGAUGAUGCCAUGUGGACAGGCACGUGAAGGUACACGUGGAAAGACGCAAGGGAGAAAGCCCCCGCAGUCAUAAAGCGUGUUUACUUUGUCAGAAUGCAUUCCUACAGAAUUUCUUCCCCCUGAUUGGUCUGAUAUAAAAUAACAUUUACAGGCUGGUCUCCCGCCGCUAAGAACACCCAAUUUCCUCAAACUAAUCUCCAGAUCCAUGCUAAAACAACAUCCAGCAGAAGCCUUUUGUUGUUUUCCAGAGUUUUAUCCCUAAUCAUCUGGAAAUAAUGCCCAUGUCUUCCUCAGCAUCCGGCUGUGGCCUAUAACUUUUACAUAGCGAGAGAACAUAGCUGCCUACAUCAAUGGAGGCUUGGCCAUUAUUGGUGGAGAUAAAGAGAAAGACCAUCCAUCACGAUGAUGAAAUUAUAUCAUGGCUAGGGCCUCCCAGGAUUUUCCUUUUCCCCCUAAAGGAGGUGUGCUCUGAAGGGUUUUGAAGAAGCUGGUGCAGUUGGUUACUUGCAGUGGUGAUCUCCUCUAAUAGGGGCUAAUAGUGAAUAGCAUUCCAGAUGUUCCAGCAGACCAGACACAGAAAGACCAUACAUGUUUAGGUAGACAAGUUUGUUUUAGGUUUUAAUUGUGUUGUGUGGGGUUCUCAUGCUUUACAGAAGGAGAACGUGUUUUGAGUGUUGGCCUCUGGGUCUUUUAUUGUCUAUGCCUUUUGUCAUAAAAUAGUAGCAGUGUCUUGACAUUGAGUAAUGUAAACUGUGUGUUGUGGGAAACAUGUAAAUAUAUACUCUCUUUACAAAAAGUAUGCUCUUUCUGUCUC